UAUAAUUAAUUGUUGUUGUUGUUUUGUUUAUAUACUACUGAUCAAUUUAAUAAAUAUUUAUUGUGGAUUUGUACUUAUAAGUGUUUUGAUUUUUAUAUUUUGUUCCCAUAAAGUCCAGACCUGGUACUUAACCCUAACUUGUGUAACCCCACCUUUUGUGUCACGCAGUAUGUUACACUCAUACUGCGUGACUUAAGUUAAUUUCAAUAUAUAUAUUUUUUCUUUAAAUAUCUUUAUUCAAUGUAUUAAUUAUAGAAUAUAUUUGAGUAUGAUAUAAAUGAAAGACAUGUUUUUAAUUGUUCAGAGUGGAGGACUUUAAGUAAAAAUGAUUGUUAUAAUGAUGAUGAAAAAUUUUAUGAUGAUUUGGUUCUCUAAUUUAAUUAUAAAUUCCUUGGAUUUAAAUAAUAUUUGUAAUGAAAUAAAUAUUUGCAAAUUAAAAAUUUUUUCACAUAAUACAUAUGUAUGUAAAAUAUUUAUGUAAAUAUUGCUUGUGAUUAAUGUUAAUUUUUAUUUCUUGAUGAAUAUUUCAGGUAUUUCAUCUUAGCCCAGUUUCUAGGAAAGAAUAUCCAGCUGGUGAUAUUGUCAAUAUGAUGUCAGUUGAUGUUAUUGAAUUAUUUGAGUUUACUAUGUACUUUAGUCAGUUAUGGUCUGUUCCUUUAACAUUGACAAUUGGUAUAUAUUUUGUUUGGCAAUAUCUUGGAAUUGCUACUUUAGCAGGACUAAUUGUGAUAAUAAUCUUAGCUCCAAUUACUGUUGUUUUAGCAAAAGUUUGUGAUAUAUUUCAGACAGACCUCUACUUAUAUAAAUCUUACUUAUGUAAAUCUGCACUUAACUAAAAAAUCUCUGGUGCACAGAAUUUAUGGACAGUGCUUAUGCAAAGCAAGCAAA